rnacentral:ncRNA from 1 species
UCUUAUCAAGAGAGGUUGAGGGGAAUGGCCCUGUGACGCCUCAGCAACCACCGCUUUAUGCGGAAAGGUGCUAAAUCCAUCAAGUUGGAAACAACUUGGAAGAUGAGA